rnacentral:rRNA from 1 species
GACGGGGGGUGCAAGCGUUGUUCGGAAUCAUUGGGCGUAAAGCGCGUGCAGGUGGCUUGUAAAGUCAGAUGUGAAAGCCCCGGGCUUAACCCGGGAAGUGCAUUUGAAACUCACAAGCUUGAGUAUGGAAGAGGGUCGUGGAAUUCCAGGUGUAGUGGUGAAAUACGUAGAUAUCUGGAGGAACACCGGUGGCGAAGGCGGCGAACCUGGUCCAAUACUGACACUCAUACGCGAAAGCGUGGGGAUCAAACAGG